CCGACCUUAGCUCAGUUGGUAGAGCGGAGGACUGUAGAUCCUUAGGGUCACUGGUUCGAAUCCGGUAGGUCGGA